rnacentral:rRNA from 1 species
AUGCCCGUCCUCCGAAUUGGCACGUCCAUUUCGGUGGGCUUCGGUUCCGCGACGCUGUUCUGGUUCGAUCGGUGUCUAGGGUCCCCCCUGGCCGCGCGAUUCCUGGAAUUACUUUCCAUUGUGGUAGACCCUCGGGUCUCCGUCGAGACAACCCUUAUUGACUCAGGGCGACUCGCUUUCCGGCGCCCCUUUGGCCCCCACGAGGUGACUGCCUGGGACUCCCUCCUCUAGGACAUCACCCUUCUUCCGAUCGAUAUGGACGGUGGCCCUGACUCCUUGUCUUGGCGGCUGGAGUCCUCCGGUAGCUUCUCCACAAAAUCCCUAUACUCGGUCAUCGCCCCCUCAUCGGCCCCUGAGCCGUUUAGCCUACUUUGGGACAUACGGCUCCCCCUGAAGAUCCGGAUCUUCUUAUGGCAGUGGAUUCAAGGACGCCUCCCAUUUGGGGUGGAGGUUCUCAAGCGCAAUGGCCCUGGCGAUGGGAUGUGCCAUAUCUACGGAACCGUGGAGGAUGCUAACCACAUAUUCUUCUCCUGCUCUACGGCACAAUUCCUUUGGGCUUGCUUCCACGAGACGGUUGGGGGACAUUGGUGUAACACCAUUUUCCCGGACCUGUUCGCCAAACUUCAAGCCUCGGCCCUCCAGCACCGCCAUAUUAGGCGGCUGUGCGUUGGGGUCCUAGCCUAG